rnacentral:RNase_P_RNA from 1 species
UAAGUUGGUCGCCUUAUCGCUAUAUUUUAUAUAGAGGAAAGUCCGAACACCAAAGUACAUCAUAGUGGUUAACAGCCACCGAUUGUAAGAUCAGGAAUAGUGCAACAGAAAGUAUGUACAGGUAAUGCUGUAGUGAAAUCAGGUAAACUCUAUGAGGUGCAAUGCCAUGUAUACCAGCUAUAAGAGUUGUACGCUCAAUGUUGGAGGGUAGGCAGCUAGAAUAAAUUGGCAACAAUUUAUCAAGAUAAAUGAUAAGGGCUUGAAAAAGUACAGAAUUCGGCUUAUAGACCUACUUAUUUA